GCCUGUUGCCUCUCUGAGGCGUUUGCUGAUCUAUUAGUCAAUUAGUCAAUCAAAAGAAAAUUCAAAUUCAAAAAUAUCAAAAUCGAAAAAAAACCGUCAGUCCGUCAGUGAAUUGUGAAAGGUAUUUAUUUAGCCGUUUGAGGCAAAGAGUAAUUUAAUAUGGUUUGAGGUGAAACUGAAAGGCCGAGAAGAAGAAAAACGUUAAAACCACAUCCUUACGUCUUCAAUGUUCAAAACACUGUUUACGCUGAAGGUAUUAUAGAAACAACCUGCUGACGGAUACUAUCCACUUAUUAAAUAUUCAACUGAUUUUACAUUGUAGAUAACCAAAUAUGAAUUACAUCGUAGAUUUUAUUGAUCUCACAAGUCCUGUUACCCCAUUAAGGGACGAAGUUAUAAAUCUGGAUAGUGAUGAAUCCUUUGACGCUUCAUUGUUGGUUCGUGCACCAAGAAAAAGCCGUCAUUUGCAAAUUAUCAUUUCUACAAAUACAAGAUCAAACACCAAUACAAAACCAAAUAAUAAUCAGAAACAGCAAACAAACCCAGAACCAAGCAAAAUUACAAUAGAAAAAAUAACAAAGAAUAAAUUUGGUGAUUGCCCUAUUUGCUGGGAUGAGUUAGGCAAAAAUCCUUUGGCUUCAACUGUGUGUGGCCACGUAUUCUGCUUUAAAUGUCUUAAGCAGGCAUUGUUAAGACUCAAACAAUGUCCCACUUGUAGACGUGCACUUAGGGAUGAAAGAUCCUUCCAUCCUUUAUAUAUACCAACAGUUUAAACUUUUUUGAAUACUUAUGAGAUUGAAUUUGUUAUUUUUCUUAUCUAGUUGCUUAUUACUAUCAAAAAGACUGAUGUAUUUUUGUAAAUUUAUAGAUUUUGAUAAAUGUUUCCAAAUACAAUUUAACCGUUAAUUCUUUAUAAAGUGUGUUAAACAAGACUAAGUCAUAGUAUAAUCAAGUCACAUAAUUCAUAAUCAUAAUAGUUUAAUGUUCCAAAAACAAGUCGCAGGCGUCUUCUAGUAUGUAUAUAUUUUUUAAAUGGAUUUUAAAGCUUAAACUUUUUGUAUUGCAUAAAUUUGAUUUUAUGAUUUAGUGUUGUCUCCCAAUUUAAUGUGAUAAUAUAGUAGUGUUAGUAUUUAGGUCAUCUUCAUCAUAAUCUUAUCAGCCGGGGGAGGUAGCAGAUGGGUACAAAGCAUGUGUCUGAUGGCUUAAGAACAAUGAUUUUUCAUAUUGAUUGUCUGUGAAUCCUUGAAACUUGCCACCUCAUACUUAUAAAGCCAUCCAAAUGUUAUAAUUGCUUACUGUAAUUGCCUAUGGUAGGAUUAUGGACAAGAUUACAACGUUUAUAAAAUUGAUCCUGAGCUUACUGGUGGCAUUUACAAUAAGAUAAUAUUGAUAUUUUUUCAAUAAUAUUGCUAUACUUAAACUUAUUUUAUGUGACUUGCAUAGACAUCUUGCAUAGAUUAUGACAUCCUGCUCAAUGUUAUGAUUUACACCAUAGGUUAACUACUAUUUGACACAGCACCCCCUUUGCGAAUGUUUCUCCAUUUCUUGGACAUUAAAGUUGGCUGUUGUGGGUAGUCCUAUUUCAUAAGCUCUUAAAUAAAUCAGAAUAAAAUAAUUCAAAUGUUUAUAUGAUCCAAUUUAAAUAAUAAUUAUUAUACUUAA
rnacentral:lncRNA from 1 species